UUCUAUUCUACUUUAUUCUUUCAGCUUCGAUAGAUCAGUCACCCUCCAUCAGGAACAGGUGGAUUGAGUCCAAUCUUUUACUGGUCCCAGGUGAACUUGAUAAACAUAUGGUCCAUUGUGAAGGGAUCUUGUUUUGCGGUAAGAUAACUUCUAUAUUGUGCUAUUUUUUUAAUGCUCUGUGAGCAAAUGCUCUUUGAACAGAGAUAAGCUUGCUGAUUGGAUAAGAUUAGCUGAUGGACUGAUAGAUGCUUGUUUCAGAUAUCUGAUUGUGUUUGUAAUGGCUUCUUCACCUAGCUGUUUGCCUGUUCCAGUGGCCAUUACAAAGAAUUAUGCUGAGUGUCAUUUUUGGUUUUUGGAGUUGACAGAAGCCAUGGCUCAAAAUUUCAAGCUCCUGUGGCAAUGCAGAAUUACUGAAUGGCAGAUUAUAGAAUGCAUGUGAGUGCUUGGUCCCAGCCUUUGGGACGUGUGGAAUUCAAUGGGGUAGGCGUAAGUGUCUUCCAUUCUUGAGAAGCUCCAUUCUAAAGGGUGAGCUGAAAUUAUCUAUACUCAACCGAACAUCCUUAAUAGAUAUAUUCUACUUCCUGUUGCUCGGUUCAUCCUGAACGCCACCCGUGGCAAAACCAUGGUCAUUUCCUUUGAGAAAUAUUUAUCUUGCUAGGCAUCGAUGAUCUUCAGGCUUUUUGUAGCUUU